rnacentral:lncRNA from 1 species
AUGGCUGCCUGGCAUUCCUCAACAAAAUGGAUGCCUGCCUCACUCACUGUUACCAAGGCUUCAUUCCCGGCUAAUAGGGGGAUGUCCCCAAGCUUAUUGGUUCCUUGGCUGGAAAAUCCUUGGCUGUCAUUUCCCUGUGAAAGGGAAUCCCCGCCUGGAGAUGGCAACGUCAGCAGCGCUCUCAGCCAAUCAGGCUGCAAAUCCAGACCAGCUCCUCUUUCUGCCAAUCAGGGGAGGGAGCAGGAGUUUUGAAUAGCUCUCAAACUGUGUAAGAUAUCUUGCUUUCUCUGUAUAUUUUAUUCUUGUACAAUUUUGAAGCAUCCGCUCAUACUUGCAUCCCUUUUUGCUGAACUGAAUAAACCUCUGUAGUCUGUCUUCAACCUGGUGAGUGUUCCUAUGUCCUGGCCCAUUCUGUAUAGCUUGCAUUCGCCAGGCACACAUCCUUUUCUCCACGGUCCUCAUUGUCCAAUACAGUAUGGUGUCAUCUGCACAUUUGAAGUUUUUGGAGUCAUUCUCCUGUUUUCAUGCCUGCUUCCUCUGAGUCUCAUCAUGCUUUCAGAUAUGUUCUGAAUAUAAAUAAAACAGACAGGAUGAUGAAAUUCAGGCUUGCCUAUCCCCAUUUAUUUAUUUAUUUAUCUCCCACUUUCUCCUAUGAGUAGGAUUCAAAUCCCUCGGCAAUGGGAUGCCAUUCAAUUUCUCCAUGCUGUGUCUUAAUAGUGGCUAUUUUUCCAAAUCAAUUUUCUUUCCGAAUUCAUUGGUGUGUCUCAUUAUUCUAUGUAAGAUUUCUGAUAUGAUUCAUUUCUUUUCUGAACCCAGUUUGUACAUCUGGCAUUUCUUGUAAAAUCUUAAGCAUGACUUAAUUUUAUGGGAGAUCCAAGAGUUACUACAAUCCCUAAUGUGUUUUUCUUGGAUGCUGGAAUGUAACCUGAAUGUUUCCAAUCUGUAGACAAUUGUUUUGUUUUCCAAAAAAAGUAACUGGCAAGUUUUUAUUAGAAUGAAAAAGGAUUCUUUAUCUAUGUUGUGUGUCUCAUUGUAUGUGAUUGUAAAUAAGGCAUUGAAUGUUUGCCUUUGUCUGCUUUAUAUAUACUAUAAUCCACUCUGAGUCCCUUCGGGGAAAAGGGUAGAAUAUAAAUAAAGUGUAUUAUUAUUAUUAUCCCCCCUCUAUAUCCCGAACUAAAGGAGCCCCGGUGGCGAAGUGGGUUAAAGCACUGAGCUGCUGAACUUGCAGACCGAAAGGUCCCAGGUUCAAACCCCGGGAGCAGCGUGCAUGGCAGCUGUUAGCUCCAGCUUCUGCCAACUUAGCAGUUUGAAAACACGCAAAUGUGAGUAAUCCAGCGGGAAGGUAAUGGCGCUCCAUGCAGUCAUGCCGGCCACAUGACCUUGGAGGUAUCUACGGACAACGCCAGCACUUCGGCUUAGAAAUGGAGAUGAGCACCAACCCACAGAGUCAGACAUGACUGGACUUAACGUCAGAGGAAACCUUUACCUUUUACCUAUAUCCCGAACUAGCCAUUAGAUCAUGCCAUUUUCUCCUAGUAAUUUUUGAGCUUUUUUAUCUUUGCUUUAUAAGAUUGUGGAUUAAUGGUUGUUCCUUGCAGAAAUUUGUCAUUAUUUCAUCUUUUUUCAUUGUAUCUUAGUGUGCUCUUUCUGUACAUUUUUACGUUGUCAUGAUUGUAUAAGCUACUCCAGUCAUGAGCAUAUAAAACCAUAUUCUUGGUUUGAAUUCUCAUUCAUUUCUUAGUUCUCAUGGAAGAGAUUUCUUAUUCUACAUUUUUAUUAUUUUACAUUUCUUUAUAUAUAUAGUGAUUAGCAUAUUUCAUCACAUAAUAGUCACCUCCACAUAAUAGUCACACCCCUAUUUACUGGGUGUUAAAAUGGUAUUUUUGUUUUCCUCACAUAAUAGUCACACCCCACUUGAGACUGAUUUUCCUUCCCUCCCUCUUUCCUUCUCUGAUGGCAAGGCAGUUCAAAAACUAUAAAAUGGAGGUCUCUGAAGCCCCACUCUUCUCUCUUCCCUCCUUCUUCUGAAGCAAGGCAGUUUACAAAACCUGAAAUUGAGGUCUUUGGAGAAAAGGAGGAAGGAAGGAAGGAAAGAAGGAAAGAAGGAAGGAAGGAAUAUCUGAGAUCCAGAGAACUCUAUUUCAUAUUUUUUUAACUGUCAUGCCUCAGCAGAAGUAGAGAAGAGAGAAGAGUGGAGCUUCAGAGACCUCCAUUUUAUAGUUUGUAACUGCCUUGCUUUUGGAGAAAGAAGGGAGAGAAAGAGAGAUCAAUCCCAUAUGACUCAGCAGUUUAAAAAACAAACAGAAACUGCACUGUUUUGUUUGAGGUUGGAUCAUCCCUUUUCCUCCUCCCUUUUUAGAGGUAAGGCAUUUUAUUUUUAAAAAAACACAUCAAAAAUCAAAGAAUUGAAGGCAGAUUUGUUUCCUCAUGUAAAAGUCACACACCCCUUUUAUUUAAAAAAAGGAAAGAUAUGACUAUUAUGUGAUGAAAUACAGUAUUAUACAAGUUCUCUUGCGCAAGCCCUGUAACAGUUGCAUGAAGGAUUCUGACUUUAUUUUAAUUGUGUUUGACAUGUUUAUCAGCUUUCUUUUACCCAAUUAAUAAUAAUAAUAAUAAUAAUAAUAAUAAUAAUAAACUUUAUUUAUACCCCGCCACCAUCUCCCCAACGGGGACUCGGGGCGGCUUACAUGGGGCCAUGCCCAGAACAAUACAAUAACACAGAAUAUAAAUAAAACAACAAAUCAUAACACACAACACAAUUAGACUUUCUUUGACUCCAUCUAUGCUUCCAAAUAAUGCAGUUUCAUAAUGUAGUUUGGUUGCAUUGCAUGGCAGUUUGACAGACAGUAAUUGCCAUAGCUCAGUGCUCUAGAAUUUUGGAUUCUAUGAUUUUGUGAGAUAUUUACCCUUCUCUGUCAGACAGCUGUCAUGCCACCACAAACUACAAAGCUCAGGGUUCUGCAGAAUGGAGAUAUGACAGUUAAAGCGAUGAGUCACAGUGUAGCAAUGGGUUAAAUCCUUGUGCAGCUGAACUGCUGAAAUGAAGGUUGGUUGCUGACCUGAAGGUUGGCAGUUUGAAUCCGCAAGAUGGGGUGAGCUCCCGUCUGUCAGCUCUAGCUUGUGGGGACAUGAGAGAAGCCUCCCAGCUAACACAUCUUGAUGUCCCCUGGGCAACGUCUCCAUAGACGGCCAAUUCUCUCACUCCAGAAGUGAUUUGCAGUAUGUUCUCAAGUCGCUUUUGACACAAUAAAAAAGUUAAAGUGUUACUGAACUGUUACAAUUCUGCAGCAUGGAUGGUUUACGGGAAUUGCAAUGAUUUACUCUUAUAAACAAGUUUACUUGCAAUAUCGUUUUUUAAAGGUGCAAGUGUGUGAAUAUAUAAAUGGCUUCUGUUAAAUACCCCAUUCACCAUACUAAAAAGGAAUGUUAAAUAAUAUUUUUUCUAGUUUUUCUGGAGGAAGACAUAGAGGUGGAAAAUAAGAAAUUGUUUUCCUCCUUACAAUAUUUGCUUGUACCUCUGAAUUUCUAGUACUCGUUGGAGGGAGGGGGCACACAAUUGUGCAUUCCAAUAAUUGUCCGUCCUUAGGAUGUUGAUUGUAAAUUACGUGUUCAAUGUGGCACCGCCUCUUCCUGAUCCUGCAAGGGUCACAUCAUUUCCUUAACUUCCUGCAGAGGUUGCUUGAUAUAUCCUUUCUGGGAUCCUGAAAGCUCCCUUGAGCAACUGAUUUCCUUUGUGUCUCUUGAGUCACCCUCUGUUUCUUUGUAACUCUUGGCUCACCUGCCAAUAAUUGUUAUAAGCCCCCUUUACAACUAAAAACAGCUCCUCCACUUUCAUCUUCUCGUUCAUCUAAUGGUAAGGCUUCCCUGUCCUCUGAAAAGUGUGUAUCAGAUGGCUUCUCAGUUUACUACCCUGUUUCCCUGAAAAUAAGACAUCCCCGAAAAAUAAGACCUAGUAGAAGUUUUGCUGAAUUGCUAAAUAUAAGGCCUCCCCCGAAAGUAAGACCUAGCAAAGUUUUUGUUUGGAAGCAUGCCCAGCGCCUGCCAAACAGAACACCAGAGCUUACAGGAUUGGUAAAUGUACAUACUAGUUGUACAUGGAAAUAGUGGUAGUAACAAGACAUUCUUGAUAGGAUUCAGUUUAUCUGGUUAUGUUGGUUUGUGAUGACAACUACUGUACAGUAUAUAAUAAAUGUUCAUUUUUUGUUCAACAAUAAAUGUGAAUUCUUAUUCAUAGAAAAAUAAGGCAUCCCCUGAAAAUAAGACCUAGCACAUAUUUGGGAGCAGAAAUUAGGAAUAAAGGCAAGGCCUUAAU